UACGGAAGGCAGCAGUGGGGAAUAUUGCACAAUGGGCGCAAGCCUGAUGCAGCCAUGCCGCGUGUAUGAAGAAGGCCUUCGGGUUGUAAAGUACUUUCAGUCGUGAGGAGGUGUUAAGGUUAAUAACCUUAGCAAUUGACGUUAGCGACAGAAAAAGCACCGGCUAACUCCGUGCCAGCAGCCGCGGUAAUACGGAGGGUGCGAGCGUUAAUCGGAAUUACUGGGCGUAAAGGGCACGCAGGCGGUUAAUUAAGUUGGAUGUGAAAUCCCCCGGGCUUAACCUGGGAAUGGCAUUCAAGACUGGUUAGCUAGAGUCUUGUGAGGGGGUAGAAUUCCAUGUGUAGCGGUGAAAUGCGUAGAGAUGUGGAGGAAUACCGGUGGCGAAGGCGGCCCCUGGACAAAGACUGGACGCUCAUGUGCGAAAGCUGGGGAGCAAACAGGGAUUAGAUACC
rnacentral:rRNA from 1 species